rnacentral:lncRNA from 1 species
AUGUACAACAACUUUCCCCACAACUGUGAUGCUUUAUCCUUUGACAUUAAAAAUGCUGUUUGCAGAAGUAACAUUCCUUUGAACACUCAACUUUCUGAAAUUGUGUCCCACCGCAAGGACUCACAUAGGACCAAUGCAUUGGAUGAUAACUGGUACAUCGUCAAGGGACAGAAGUGUCAACAGGUAAGUUCCAAUGUAAUUGCAGGAAAGAUAGAUGUUUGUCCAAUGUAAUUGCAGGAAAGAUAGAUUUAAGACUCAUGGAUUUGUGAUGUGAUUGGACUAUAAGAGGAAUCUAUUUGACAUUCCACAUUGCAAAUAGCCAGGGAUAAAGGAUAUAAUGUUGAGCUCUUUUGUUUUUAAAUCAGUGAAUGCCUUAAAAACAAAAGAAAUGAACCCUUUAAUCUAUGGAAUACAAGGGUCUAUCAACUAAAUGAUGACCACAGUUGGAAAGGUAGACAAAUCUAAGAUGCAAUUCCCACAAAAUUUUCCUGGGAAGAAAAUAAUGAAAUAUAAAAUAAAAUAUAAAAUAAUAAAAACA